GUGAGCUCUCAAACCUCCGUAAGAUCCAUGACUGGCACUCUGAAACAUUCUCAUCAGAGGAGUCAGAUGCACCAAGGACGUCAAAGCAGAAUGUGGAUAGUAGCAGGAGGAAGUUGGGUCUGGACAAAGAUGUGAACUUUGCUAAAUCUCCUCAGCAAUACCUUGCUUACUUGGAUAUUCUGUCUCAGUCUGGAACUCCAAACUUAUAUUCAAGGAUAAAGGGCAACAAAGCCACUGUUAAGGUUGAUACCAUCCCUCCUG